rnacentral:rRNA from 1 species
UGCAGCCGAGCGGUAUAGAUUCUUCGGGAUCUAGAGAGCGGCGUACGGGUGCGGAACACGUGUGCAACCUGCCUUUAUCAGGGGGAUAGCCUUUCGAAAGGAAGAUUAAUACCCCAUAAUAUUUAGAAUGGCAUCAUUUUAAAUUGAAAACUCCGGUGGAUAGAGAUGGGCACGCGCAAGAUUAGAUAGUUGGUGAGGUAACGGCUCACCAAGUCUACGAUCUUUAGGGGGCCUGAGAGGGUGAUCCCCCACACUGGUACUGAGACACGGACCAGACUCCUACGGGAGGCAGCAGUGAGGAAUAUUGGACAAUGGGUGCGAGCCUGAUCCAGCCAUCCCGCGUGAAGGACGACGGCCCUAUGGGUUGUAAACUUCUUUUGUAUAGGGAUAAACCUAGAUACGUGUAUCUAGCUGAAGGUACUAUACGAAUAAGCACCGGCUAACUCCGUGCCAGCAGCCGCGGUAAUACGGAGGGUGCAAGCGUUAUCCGGAUUUAUUGGGUUUAAAGGGUCCGUAGGCGGAUCUGUAAGUCAGUGGUGAAAUCUCACAGCUUAACUGUGAAACUGCCAUUGAUACUGCAGGUCUUGAGUGUUGUUGAAGUAGCUGGAAUAAGUAGUGUAGCGGUGAAAUGCAUAGAUAUUACUUAGAACACCAAUUGCGAAGGCAGGUUACUAAGCAACAACUGACGCUGAUGGACGAAAGCGUGGGGAGCGAACAGGAUUAGAUACCCUGGUAGUCCACGCCGUAAACGAUGCUAACUCGUUUUUGGUAUUUCGGUAUCAGAGACUAAGCGAAAGUGAUAAGUUAGCCACCUGGGGAGUACGAACGCAAGUUUGAAACUCAAAGGAAUUGACGGGGGCCCGCACAAGCGGUGGAUUAUGUGGUUUAAUUCGAUGAUACGCGAGGAACCUUACCAAGGCUUAAAUGGGAAAUGACAGGUUUAGAAAUAGACUUUUCUUCGGACAUUUUUCAAGGUGCUGCAUGGUGUCGUCAGCUC